rnacentral:rRNA from 1 species
AACGAACGCUGGCGGCAGGCCUAACACAUGCAAGUCGAGCGGGGAGCAAUCCCUAGCGGCGGACGGGUUAGUAACGCGUGGGAACAUACCCUUUGGUACGGAAUAGCCUCGGGAAACUGAGAGUAAUACCGUAUGUGCCCUUCGGGGAAGAUUAUCGCCAAGGAUUGGCCCGCGUUGGAUUAGGUAGUUGGUGGGUAAUGGCCUACCAAGCCUACGAUCCAUAGCUGGUUUGAGAGGAUGAUCAGCAACACUGGGACUGAGACACGGCCCAGACUCCUACGGGAGGCAGCAGUGGGGAAUCUUAGACAAUGGGCGCAAGCCUGAUCUAGCCAUGCCGCGUGAGCGAUGAAGGCCUUAGGGUUGUAAAAGCUCUUUCAGAUGGGAAGAUAAUGACGGUACCAUCAGAAGAAGCCCCGGCUAACUCCGUGCCAGCAGCCGCGGUAAU